rnacentral:misc_RNA from 1 species
CCAAGGGGCUAAUUAUGCA